rnacentral:rRNA from 1 species
AACGAACGCUGGCGGCAGGCUUAACACAUGCAAGUCGAGCGCCUUGGCAACAAGGAGCGGCAGACGGGUGAGUAACGCGUGGGAAUCUACCCAUCUCUACGGAAUAACUCAGGGAAACUUGUGCUAAUACCGUAUACGCCCUUAGGGGGAAAGAUCUAUCGGAGAUGGAUGAGCCCGCGUUGGAUUAGCUAGUUGGUGGGGUAAAGGCCUACCAAGGCGACGAUCCAUAGCUGGUCUGAGAGGAUGAUCAGCCACAUUGGGACUGAGACACGGCCCAAACUCCUACGGGAGGCAGCAGUGGGGAAUAUUGGACAAUGGGCGCAAGCCUGAUCCAGCCAUGCCGCGUGAGUGAUGAAGGCCCUAGGGUUGUAAAGCUCUUUCACCGGAGAAGAUAAUGACGGUAUCCGGAGAAGAAGCCCCGGCUAACUUCGUGCCAGCAGCCGCCGUAA